GCAAGUGUAACUCAAUUGGCAGAGUACCUGAUUUCCAAUCAGGAUGUUGCGGGUUCGACUCCCGCCACUUGCU
rnacentral:tRNA from 1 species